GACGAACGCUGGCGGCGUGCUUAACACAUGCAAGUCGCACGAAGUGGCGAACGGGUGAGUAACGCGUAAUCAACCUGCCCUUCAGAGGGGGACAACAGUUGGAAACGACUGCUAAUACCCCAUAAUGAAGGAGGGGAUUGCGUCUGAUUAGCUAUUUGGAGGGGUAACGGCCCACCAAGGCGCUGAUCAGUAGCCGGUCGGAGAGGAUGAACGGCCACAUUGGGACGGAGACACGGCCCAGACUCAUACUGGAGGCAGCAGGGGGGAAUCUUCCGCAAUGGACGAAAGUCUGACGGAGCAACGCCGCGUGAGUGAUGACGGCCUUCGGGUUGUAAAGCUCUGUUAAUCGGGACGCGGUACCGGAAUAGAAAGCCACGGCUAACUACGUGCCAGCAGCCGCGGUAAUUC
rnacentral:rRNA from 1 species